rnacentral:rRNA from 1 species
GACGAACCGUGCGAACGUUGUUCGGAAUCACUGGGCUUAAAGGGCGCGUAGGCGGCUUGCCAAGUCAGUGGUGAAAUCCUGCAGCUUAACUGCAGAAGUGCCUCUGAUACUGGCGAGCUAGAGGGAGGUAGGGGUAUGUGGAACUUCUGGUGGAGCGGUGAAAUGCGUUGUUAUCAGAAGGAACGCCGGUGGCGAAAGCGACGUACUGGACCUCUUCUGACGCUGAGGCGCGAAAGCUAGGGGAGCAAACGGG